rnacentral:rRNA from 1 species
GAUGAACGCUGGCGGCGUGCCUAAUACAUGCAAGUCGAGCGAACAGACGAGGAGCUUGCUCCUCUGACGUUAGCCGCGGACGGGUGAGUAACACGUGUAUACCCUACCUAUAUGACUGGGAUAACUUCGGAAAACCGGCGCUAAUCCCAGAUAAUAUAUUGAACCGCAUGGGUCAAUGGUGAGAGACGGCUUUUCGGUCACUUCUAGCUGGAUCCGCGCCGCAUUAGCUAGUUGGUAGGGUAACGGCCUUCGAAGGCUAGGAUGCGUAGCCGACGUGACAGGGGGAUCGGCGACACUGGAGCUGAGACAGGGUCAUGAGUACUGCGGGAGGCCGCAGUAGGGAAUCGUCCGCAAUGGGCGGGAGUCUGACGGAGCAAGCGGGCGUGAGUGAUGGAAGUCUUCGGAGCGUAAAAACGUGUUACUAGGGGAGAACAACUGUGGAAGUAAAUAUGCCGGUAUUGACGGUAAUUAGUAAAAAAGCCCCGGCUAACUACGUG